AACGCACAUUGCGCCCGCCAGCAUUCUGGCGGGCAUGCCUGUUCGAGCGUCAUUGCAACCCUCAGGCCCUGCCUGGCGUUGGAGGACUGCGCUGCAGCCUCCUAAAGCAAGCGGCGGCGGCGCCCCAAAACCGAACGCAGUAAUACAUCUCGUUCUGGGUCUGGGACGUUGUCUUGCCGGAAAACCCCAACUUUUACGUGGUUGACCUCGAAUCAGGUAGGAAUACCCGCUGAACUUAA
rnacentral:misc_RNA from 1 species